UCAGAAACUUUCUCAUUAUAUAGAUUCAUCUGCAUAUUGGUCAAAUAAAAAACCACCUUGUCUAAUCAAUAGUUUUAAGAAAUUUAUCAACAUAAAAGCUCCUAUUCAUCGAUCCAUUAAUUAUCCUCUUUUCAGUACUAGCUUUGAAGCAUUAAUGUUGCUUCCAGAAAUUAAUUUUAACUCAGAUUUAAAUAAGCACGAUAUUAGUACAAAUUUUUCGUUUAAUCUUCUUAAAAAUACUGUUUGGGUUGAUUACCAUCAUAUUUACACAGACGCGUCUAAACAUUCCUCCUCGGAUCCCGUUGGUGUAGGUGUCUAUCACGCUCAAUUUAAAAUAUCACAGAAAAUUAAACUUCCUCCGGAAACAUCGGUGUUUACUGGGGAAUGUUAUGGUAUUUUUAAGGCUAUUGAAUAUAUUAUUCUAUUUAAACUUCCAAAAACAAUAAUUUUCUCUGAUUCAAAAAGUGCCUUACAGUCUCUCAAUAGGUUCCCAUUUAAAUCAAAAAACAUUUCUUCUGUUGUCAUAGAAAUAAGAAAUCUAUUAAAUAAAUGCAAUCACUUUUGUCUUUCUGUGUUGUUUGUAUGGAUCCCCAGCCAUAGCGACAUUCCUGGUAAUAUAAAAGCAGACCAACUAGCUAAUGAAGCCGUGGUCGAUGGCGACAUUUUCCCUUAUAAAGUUUUUUGCCAGGAUCUAGGUGCUCUUCCUAUAGUUCACCUUCAGGAUUGUUGGAAUAGACUUUGGACUGAAACUGGUCAAUCAAAAGGCAGGAAAUAUUUUAACCUUCAGCCACUUAUUUCAUUUAAACCAUGGUUUUUCCGUGCCAAAUGCAAUAAGUUAGUAUGUUCUUCUAUCAUAAGAAUGCGUUUGGGUCAUGUUUGCACUCCUGUUCAUCUUAAUAGAUUAGGCAUUGUAUCUACUGACAUGUGUGAAUGUGAAUCCGAUAAAUGUGAUCUAGAUCACAUUUAAUAUAUAAUUAUUAAAAUUUACCUAAGUAGAAGUGCUAAAAUAUAUACAAAUUAAAUUACAAUAUCAAGUAUCAAUAGUGAAUAGACUGAACCAUGUCCAUAACUAGUAAAUAUUAUACUCAGUCUAGAGGCAGAAGCCUCGGACAAUUCAAUACAUAUGUUACUUUUACAAAUCUUUCACAGUGGAAAGAAUAAAUUCGUAGAUUGCCAGGAAGCAAUCUCUAUUUGAUAAAAGUUGCGGAAGAGAGCGCGGGAUAUUAUCUGAUGAUUUAUAAAUGCUAAGUAGAUGAUCAAUUAGUACAAUCCUAUCAAGUAUAAAACUACUGCAUUCGAAGAAAAUGUGGUGAAGACUUUGGGGUUCGUUGGAAUUACAGAAGUUGCAAUUUGGAGAUGGGAUAAGGUUUAUCCGAUGAAGAUGAACAUUAAAUAGACAAUGGCCCAGACGUAAGCGACACAAAACCGUAUAAAAUUUUCUAUUAUGGUGUUGGUUACCUCUGCAAAACCAAGGAAUACCAAUUGAAUUAUUAAUUUCAGCAUACCAUUUAACCUUUGUUUCAAUAGUUUGAUACCAAUGUUGUUUAAAGUUAUCUGUAAUUUCCUUCUUAAUACAGAUUAGAAGAUCAGAUUGUGGAGGCGAAAUCUGUUUAUUAGAAAAAGGUUAUAGAUGAAGAGUUGUUUGUGAUGGAUUUGGCAAAGAAAUCAGCUUUUUCGUUACCUAUAACACCAAUAUGUGAAGGUAACUUGUACCCUAAGCCUCUCUCUGCAGUCACAUCAUAGAAAGCAGUUGCCACUGCCUCACUGUUUUUUUCACCAUCAAUGUAGAUUUGUUGAUAUCCCACAAAGUCUGAUAAACCAUUGAAGACAUCCUCUUUAUAUUUUAAUUUGUGGUGUAUGACUAUCUCUAUAAGGCAAGACUUACUUAAAUAAGAACCAUUAUGACAAGGAAAUUGGAGUGAACUUAAAAUUGAUGAAAGAAUAUGCAAAUUUACAUUGUUGAAGGCACCAAUUAUGUCAAGGAAAACAGCUACUAAGACUUUGUUGUUCUGAAAAGCAUCAUCAAUAUCCAAAUAUAAAUGGCUAAGACUCUCUCUGGCAGAGCGACCACGGCGAAAUCCAAACUGAUUGCUUGUGGGAUAUGAUAUAUGGGUACAUGAUAUCCACCUAAAGGGGAAUCACAGACCUUCCAUUCACAAGAUAAAAGUAAUGAAGAGGAUACCAUUGUCAAAUCAAGACCAUUCGGCCGCCAACUGUUUGAGCCAACUGUAGUGGGACUUCCAUCAUUCAAAAGUGCCAAGUCAUUCUCCUCCAUGACAUCUAAGAUAUCUCUAUCACGAGUGUCUGUGCUUCCACAACCCCAAAGAGUAUUAUGUGCAUUAAAAUCACCAGCUAUUAUCAUUGGACCAGGAAUGGACUUUAUUAAAUUAUUCAACUUUGAUUUUAUAAAACUAGAAGUGGAACAUGGAGGACUAUAGAAGCUUACUAUUGAUAUUAAUUUGUGGUUAAUUUGUAUUUGUAUAACAAUAUUUUGUAUUGAAUCAUCAUAUGAAGUAAUUACAUUUUGAAAAUGAAUACUAUUAUGAACUAUAACAGCCACACCAUUAUGAUCAUAACAACAGUCAUUUCUCACAAUGGCAUAGCCUUUUAUACUAAGUUUCAUAGAAGGUUUUAACCAGGUCUCUGAAAUUAAAGCUAUGUGAAUUUGUUUAUCACUAAGAAAUUUCUUGAAAACAUUUUUAUUAUGCAUAAUGCUUUGAGCAUUCCACUGCAUAAUAUUUAGGGUGUUGAAAUUGAAUUUGAAGUGAAAAAAAAUGUUUUUCAGUAAAUUCUUAGUCAAUAAAAAAAAUACUUUGAGUCUGAUAUGUUAGGUGUUAUUGUUUUUUAAUGUUGCAUGUAAAAUAUCUGUAAUAUUUUGACUGUUAAUUGCCAUAUUUUCUGUUUUAUUUAAUGAUAUUAUUCUGAUUAACGAUCUAGUGGAUUUUUAUUUAAGCUGGGGAAAUUACUUUCAUUAAAUAAAGAUGGGUAAGGUCUUGAAAUAAA